GACGGAGGAUGCAAGUGUUAUCCGGAAUCACUGGGCGUAAAGCGUCUGUAGGUGGUUUAAUAAGUCAACUGUUAAAUCUUGAGGCUCAACCUCAAAAAUCGCAGUCGAAACUAUUAGGCUAGAGUAUAGUAGGGGUAAAGGGGAAUUUCCAGUGGAGCGGUGAAAUGCGUAGAGAUUGGAAAGAACACCGAUGGCGAAGGCACUUUACUGGGCUAUUACUAACACUCAGAGACGAAAGCUAGGGUAGGCAAAUGGGG
rnacentral:rRNA from 1 species